rnacentral:rRNA from 1 species
GAUGAACGCUGGCGGCGUGCCUAAUACAUGCAAGUCGAGCGAACGGACGAGAAGCUUGCUUUUCUGAUGUUAGCGGCGGACGGGUGAGUAACACGUGGAUAACCUACCUAUAAGACUGGGAUAACUUCGGGAAACCGGAGCUAAUACCGGAUAAUAUUUUGAACCGCAUGGUUCAAAAGUGAAAGACGGUCUUGCUGUCACUUAUAGAUGGAUCCGCGCUGCAUUAGCUAGUUGGUAAGGUAACGGCUUACCAAGGCAACGAUGCAUAGCCGACCUGAGAGGGUGAUCGGCCACACUGGAACUGAGCCACGGUCCAGACUCCUACGGGAGGCCGCAGUAGGGAAUCUUCCGCAAUGGGCGAAAGCCUGACGGAGCAACGCCGCGUGAGUGAUGAAGGUCUUCGGAUCGUAAAACUCUGUUAGUAGGGAAGAACAUAUGUGUAAGUAACUGUGCACAUCUUGACGGUACCUAAUCAGAAAGCCACGGCUAACUACGUG